rnacentral:lncRNA from 1 species
UUUUAUUUUCUUUCUUUCUCUCAGACUUCAUUCAUCACGAUUUCCAAAUAGAUCUAGGGUUCAGUUUCACACUUUCACUUCUCUCCUCUGCUUUUUACCUUUCUCUAAUUCUCUCCAUUCGAGUUCCGACCACCGAUUUACUGCUCUACUGCUCUUCGCUAGGUCUGCUCUACUGCUCGAGUACUCGUUUCUCGUUAUUUCUUCCGGCCACCGAUUAUUUUCUCUUCUACUGCUCAUCGCUCGUAAAAAGAAGUAUAGAUCGGAUACUGAAUCUGGUAGUUAUAGUGAGGCUUCAGUGUUUGAGUCUGGGUCAUCGGUUACAUGAUUUGACAAAUCUUCUGGGGAGAAUGACUCAAGUUAUAGUUCAUCCUCUGAUUCAGAGGAAGAGAUGAGGCGGCGGCGGAGGAAGAAGAAGAAGAAACAACAACAACAAAGGAAAAGGCGAUAGAGAAAGUACAACUCAACUUUUAAGUCUUCUUAUUCAGACUCAGAGUCUGAAGCAGAAUCAGAUUUCUGAGGAUAGGAGCAGCUGAAGGAAUAGCAGGAGGCAUGACAGAAAGCACUGAAAGAGUUGGUCCAAAUGGUGAGAAGCAACUUAUCUAGAUCGAUCAUGUGUUGUAGAAGUUUGUUUAAUGAAGGCAUUUUUUUUUUCGGAAGUAGCCUUCCUAAAUAAAUGUGGUGAAGGGGCCUUUCUCUCUUAAGUAAUUUAUUUUUAUUUUUUCAAAAAAGAAUUUUUAUCUACUUCUUAGGAGUUAUGAAUAUGAGAUUUCUUUACUACUGAUCUUGUGUACUUUCGGGGAUAAUCUUGUUUAAUUUCCUAUAUCUUGGUGAUGCUAAUGAAUGAAAGCUUAUGUUGCUGAUGGUGCUACCUGCCUACCUUUUGACUUUUAACCUCUUGGUAAGGUAUCUUAAUGUUAAAUGGGGCACUAAAUUUUGAAAAGAGAAAAUAUAACAAUCCUAC